GACAGAGGUGCCAAGCGUUAGGCGGAAUCACUGGGCUUAAAGCGUGUGUAGGCGGAUCGUUAAGUACCUUGUGAAAUCCCACGGCUCAACCGUGGAACUGCUGGGUAUACUGGCGAUCUUGAGCCACCUAGGGGCGAGCGGAACAAGCGGUGGAGCGGUGAAAUGCGCAGAUAUCAGGAGGAACACCGAUUGCGAAGGCAGCUCGCUGGGACGUAACUGACGCUGAGACGCGAAAGCGUGGGGAGCAAACAGG
rnacentral:rRNA from 1 species